AUAUUAUUAAGACAGUAAUGUUGAAAAAAAUCAAGUGUAGUAACUGAUCUUAUUGGUUUAAUAUCAGAUUUGUUCUCUCACUGCAGACAAUAUAUUAAGUGGAUCUUUGGAGUAGGGGUGUGGAAUAAGAGUUUGCUCCCUCUACUCCAUGCAUUUGCCUGGUAUCACAGUAUGUCAAGGAAUGGAGCAACCCCU
rnacentral:snRNA from 1 species